rnacentral:lncRNA from 1 species
AUGUUCUUCAAUGCAAUAGACUAUGGAGAUAUUGAGUCACUGACUAGUUUGAAUCUUUCACUGACUUUGCAGGUGAAGAUUCUUAGGAGGGAGUCCUACUGGUUCAAAGGCAUUGGAUCUGUUGUAGCUGUGGAUCAGGUCUGCCUUUUCACUUCUCUCUCAAUUAAGACUAACAUGAAAUGAGAAAAGGGUCUGCUUAUGUUCUCUGUCGAUCUUCAUUUUACAGGACCCCAACACCUGUUACCCAGUCGUCGUUCGAUUCAAUAAAGUUAGCUAUGCCAAUGUGUCCACAAAUAACUAUGCUUAG